AUUGAACGCUGGCGGCAUGCCUUACACAUGCCAGUCGAACGGCAGCACGGGUGCUUGCACCUGGUGGCGAGUGGCGAACGGGUGAGUAAUACAUCGGAACAUGUCCUGUAGUGGGGGAUAGCCCGGCGAAAGCCGGAUUAAUACCGCAUACGAUCUACGGAUGAAAGCGGGGGACCUUCGGGCCUCGCGCUAUAGGGUUGGCCGAUGGCUGAUUAGCUAGUUGGUGGGGUAAAGGCCUACCAAGGCGACGAUCAGUAGCUGGUCUGAGAGGACGACCAGCCACACUGGGACUGAGACACGGCCCAGACUCCUACGGGAGGCAGCAGUGGGGAAUUUUGGACAAUGGGCGAAAGCCUGAUCCAGCAAUGCCGCGUGUGUGAAGAAGGCCUUCGGGUUGUAAAGCACUUUUGUCCGGAAAGAAAUCCUUGGCUCUAAUACAGCCGGGGGAUGACGGUACCGGAAGAAUAAGCACCGGCUAACUACGUG
rnacentral:rRNA from 1 species